rnacentral:rRNA from 1 species
AUUACUUAAAGUAGGAGUCCCGGCUAACUUCGUGCCAGCAGCCGCGGUAAUACGGAGGGGACAAGUGUUACUCGUAAUGAUUGGGCGUAAAGGGUACGUAGGUUGCUAUUAUAGUCUAGUGUAAAAAACUUAAGUAAGAAGAAGUAAAGCAUUAGAUACAUUAUAGCUUGAGUUUUGGAGAGGAAAGUGGUACUUUUAAUGUAGAGGUAAAAUUUGUCAAUAUUAAAAGGACGACCUAAGGCGAAGGCAACUUUCUGGACUAAACUGACACUGAGGUACUGAAGCAUGGGGAGCAAAUCGGAUUAGAUACCCGAGUAGUCCAUGCCGUAAACGAUGAGUAUUGCAUAUUGUCCUAUAUAAAAUAGGAUUGUGUGUCAGUUAACACGUUAAAUACUCCGCCUGGGGACUACGGUCGCAAGAUUAAAACUCAAAGGAAUUGCGGGGAAGCUAAACAAGCGGUGGAAUAUGUGGUUUAAUUUGAUAUAACGCGUAUAACCUUACCAAUUCUUGAAAAGCAAAAGAGUUCAUAUUUAAAAAAAUAGUUGUUUUUUAUUAUUUAUAGAGUAGAAACAGAAACUUUUGUACAGGUGUUGCAUGGCUGUCGUCAGCUCGUGUUGUGAAAUGUAUGGUUUAUUCCUGUAACGAGCGCAACCCUUAUCCUUUAUUUUAUUAAAGGAAACUGUCUAUGAAAAAUAGGAGGAAGGUGAGGAUGACGUCAAGUCAGCAUGGCCUUUAUGGAUUGGGCUACACACGUAUUACAAUGGUUAUUACAAUAGAGAGCAAUAGUGUAAGCUGGAGCAAAUUCUUAAAGAUAAUCGUAGUUCGGAUUAUUGUCUGAAAUUUGGCAAUAUGAAGGCGGAAUCGCUUGUAAUCGCGAAAAAGAAUGUCGCGGUGAAUAUGUACACAGCUUCACGACACACCGCCCGUCACGCCAUGGGAAUCGGUAUUGUUCAAAAUGAACUUACCUUAUAAAAAGUUAUUAAGUUAAGAUAUUUUUUUUAUAAUUUGUUUUAACAUUAUUUUUAUAAGAGGUGACUUAGUAUAAUAUUGAGGACUGGGGUGAAGUCGUAACAAGGUAGCUGUAGGGGAACCUGUAGCUG